AAAAAAUCUACCCGGCCCCUUGAAAGCACUGCAGAGGGGCUGAGGCUGUGCUGCAGGCUGGGUACACAGCCGAGGGUCCCCAGCUGAGAGUCACUGCCGACUGGCACCACCCACACUGGAUGGGCAGCUGGGACACCAGACAGAGAUCCUGGGCAGGCAGGGAUGCCAGGAGAAGAGAAGGAUGCAGGACAGGCAGGGAUGCAGGGCAGGCAGGGAUGCAGGGCAGGCAGGGAUCCCAGGAGAAGAGAGGGAUGCAGGACAGGCAGAGAUCCCAGAAGAAGGCAGAGAUGCAGGGCAGGCAGGGAUGCAGGGUAGGCAGAGAUGCAGGGCAGGGAUGCAGGGCAGGCAGGGAUCACAGGAGGGCAGAGAUACAGGGCAGGGAUGCAAGAUCAGGGCAGGCAGGGAUGCAGGGCAGCCAGGGAUCCCAGGAGAAGAGAGGGAUGCAGGGCAGGCAGGGAUCACAGGAGAAGGCAGGAGUGCAGGGCAGGGAUGCAGGACAGGCAGGGAUCCCAGGAGAAGACAGGGAUGCAGGGCAGGCAGGGAUCACAGAAGAAGGCAGAGAUGCAGGGCAGGCAGGGAUCACAGAAGAAGGCAGAGAUGCAGGGCAGGCAGGGAUGCAGGGUAGGCAGAGAUGCAGGGCAGGGAUGCAGGGCAGGCAGAGAUCCCAGAAGAAGGCAGAGAUGCAGGGCAGGCAGGGAUCACAGAAGAAGGCAGGGAUGCAGGGCAGGCAGGGAUCACAGGACAGCAGGGAUGCAGGGCAGGCGAGGAUUUUGGGCAAGCAGCACAGGGGUUUGGCUGCCACCACCCUGGGACCACAGAGGAAUGUGCACAAGCCACAAAUUCAGCUUUGCUCCACAGCCUGGACUUGGUGCAUGUAUUUAAGCUAAUCAGAAACAACUGAACCACCAAGAGACUAAUUUCUCCAGUGCUAACUGUCCACACUGGGAUCACUUCUGGGAAGGCUGUGGCAUCCUUCAGUUUGGUGAUGUGAGCCACCAGCUGAGCAAACUUUCCUGGAAAAAGAAAGUAAGCUGGAUAUCUUUGGCUGAGCAGUGACUCUGCCUACAAGGCUGAUCCACCAUGGCCCUUCCAGCCACACAGCACCACUGCUCAGCUGAUCAUGAACAUCUGAGUAAAGAUAAAGCUUAUUUCUUCCCCACUCCUGCCUCAGAACAUUCUGAUAGAAAUACU
rnacentral:lncRNA from 12 species